AUUUAUUUAGUUUAAAAAAAACAUUUUAUUUUCAUUAAAAAAAUAAGUUAUUAAUUAAUAAAUU
rnacentral:tRNA from 1 species